GACGAACGCUGGCGGCGUGCUUAACACAUGCAAGUCGAACGGAAAGGCCCUGCUUUUGUGGGGUGCUCGAGUGGCGAACGGGUGAGUAACACGUGAGUAACCUGCCCUUGACUUUGGGAUAACUUCAGGAAACUGGGGCUAAUACCGGAUAGGAGCUCCUGCUGCAUGGUGGGGGUUGGAAAGUUUCGGCGGUUGGGGAUGGACUCGCGGCUUAUCAGCUUGUUGGUGGGGUAGUGGCUUACCAAGGCUUUGACGGGUAGCCGGCCUGGGGGGGUGACCGGCAAAGUGGGGACGGAGAGAGGGCCCAGACCCCUAGGGGGGGGAGAGGGGGGGAAAUUUCAACAAGGGGGGGGGCCCGGAGGCAGCAACCCCCGGGGGGGGAGGGCGGCCUUGGGGUGGAAAACCGUUUUCCCCUGGGAGGAAGGGGGGGGAACGGUAAUGGGAAAAGAAGCACCGGCUAACUACGG
rnacentral:rRNA from 1 species